GAUCCGGCAUCGGAUUACUGGGCGUAAGCGCACGCAGGCGGUCUGUUAAGUCAGAUGUGAAAUAAAGAGGAGAAAACCUGGGAACUGCAUCUGAUACUGUAGGAUUGAAGGAAUCGUAGAGGGGGGUAGAAUUCCUGUGUCCCCUUCACCUUCCUUAUUUCCUUAAGGGAGAGAGAAGGAGG
rnacentral:rRNA from 1 species